UACGAAGGGGGCUAGCGUUGUUCGGAUUUACUGGGCGUAAAGCGCACGUAGGCGGAUCGUUAAGUCGGGGGUGAAAUCCUGGAGCUCAACUCCAGAACUGCCUUUGAUACUGAAGAUCUUGAGUUCGGGAGAGGUGAGUGGAACUGCGAGUGUAGAGGUGAAAUUCGUAGAUAUUCGCAAGAACACCGGUGGCGAAGGCGGCCUGCUGGGCAGUUUGGCUGACACUGAGGCGCGACAGCGUGGGGAGCAAGCAGG
rnacentral:rRNA from 1 species